rnacentral:misc_RNA from 1 species
GGUGUUCUGCUAUGUUUCAAGGUAAACGAAAGCCAAGCAUCAGAGCAAGCCGUAAGAUGGACAUGUACCGUUGCAUGGUGCAGUUGGCUCAUCGUCCCAGGAUUCCAUCUUACAGCCAUCAAACACUCCUGAAGUAAAAAACAAAGAACAAAGCAAAGAAGAGAAAAAAAAAAGCAGUCCAGCAAUAGUAAAGUUAAUGAGAUUAUGCCUGUAAAAUUAAAAAUAUUGUUGGCCAGCUGGGACUUGCUUGUGACCAACAAUAAUAUAGCUACACCAUUUUUGGUGUUCACCAGGUUACACUGAUGACCAGAAUGAAGCUGUUUUGACUGCUUCAUGAACCAGGCAGUGUCUUUUGGAGUUCAGCGGGAAGUACAGUUAAGAUUCCUAUGUCCAGAUGACAUUGAGGAAGUAAAGCGGUUGUGUACAGAAUGGUUCCCCAUUGAAUAUCCAGAUUCUUGGUACCAGGACAUCACGUCCAAUGCCAAAUUCUACUCUCUUGCUGCUACAUAUUAUUCAAGGAUUAUUGGCCUCAUUGUUGCUGAGGUCAAAUCCAAAACAAAGCUUAACAGAGAGGAUGCUGAUAUUUUAGCUACACACUACCCUACAAGCUGUCAAGUGGCAUAUAUUCUUAGCUUAGGUGUGGUUGAUGAGUUCCGUCGGCAUGGUAUAGCUUCGCUUCUACUAGAUAGCCUGUUAUCCUAUCUUACAUCUCGGGACCGCUACAACUGCAAGGCUAUCUAUUUGCAUGUGUUAACCACCAACAGUGCUGCCAUCUGUUUCUAUGAAAGACGUAAUUUUCAACCACACAGCUAUCUACCUUAUUACUAUUCCAUAAAUAGCAAACCACAUGAUGGAUAUUCUUAUGUGCUUUACAUAAAUGGUGGACAACCGCCUUGGUCAAUUUAUGAUUAUCUUAGUCAGUGUGGAGCGUUACUAGCCAAGAUCCACCCAUGUUUACUUUCUCAACAAAUCCUACAAGCUGUUCAGAAGUGGCUGCGUCGUUUGCUCAGCAGUUCUUCAUAUGAUUCUCAGGAAAACCAUUCCUGGGAUGAUUCUAGCAGCGUAUAAGUUUUUCUACGAGAAGGGAUUGCUAGCCUGUCCCUCAACCCCACUCUAUUUUUGGAGAAAGAAACUGAUUGACUCUGAUUAAUUAUAACUAAUACUAUUCUCACGACCACUUCAGCAACGAGAGCCACUAAUAUCAUUGUUAUUUUCAUCCUCAUCAUUAUCACUACCACCACCACCAUCAUAGUUAACACUUGAAAGCAAUAACACACAUUCCAGCCAGUUCUCAUCACAUAAGAGCAGCAAGAGAAUAAAACCGCUAAAAACAGUUAAAGGUGAUCAGUUAUUCAAGAAUUCACAGAUUAUAACUAAGGAACAUGGACAAACCAAUAUUCUUUUAUGUUCUUUCAGGACUCUGUAAAAACUGAUUUUCUUCCAUCAAAAUUUUUCUGAUUGUAUCUUAUUAACUGGAUCAGCUAUGGCAAAGCUACAGGCUUGGCACCACAACUGUGAUUUUGACAAUGUUUAUCAAUCUGGCAUCAGAACAACUUCUUGCUUUGACAUUAUAUCGUUUUGUGGAAGAAGGAAAAGAAGAAAAGGAAUUUUAUUAAAUUAUUAUGUAGGGUGUUAAAAAAAAAAAAAACGUUUUAAAACUAAUUCUGUCUUCUGUAACUUCUAUCCAAUGGAUUCAUUUAUUU